UCGGGAAUUUUGGACAAUGGGCGAAAGCCUGAUCCAGCAAUGCCGCGUGAGUGAAGAAGGCCUUCGGGUUGUAAAGCUCUUUUGUCAGGGAAGAAACGGUGAGAGCUAAUAUCUUUUGCUAAUGACGGUACCUGAAGAAUAAGCACCGGCUAACUACGUGCCAGCAGCCGCGGUAAUACGUAGGGUGCAAGCGUUAAUCGGAAUUACUGGGCGUAAAGCGUGCGCAGGCGGUUUUGUAAGUCUGAUGUGAAAUCCCCGGGCUCAACCUGGGAAUUGCAUUGGAGACUGCAAGGCUAGAAUCUGGCAGAGGGGGGUAGAAUUCCACGUGUAGCAGUGAAAUGCGUAGAUAUGUGGAGGAACACCGAUGGCGAAGGCAGCCCCCUGGGUCAAGAUUGACGCUCAUGCACGAAAGCGUGGGGAGCAAACAGGAUUAGAUACCCACGUAGUCCCUGAGCGGGCUGGCAAGGCGCAU
rnacentral:rRNA from 1 species